GAUGAACGCUGGCGGCGUGCCUAAUACAUGCAAGUCGAGCGAACGGACGAGAAGCUUGCUUCUCUGAUGUUAGCGGCGGACGGGUGAGUAACACGUGGAUAACCUACCUAUAAGACUGGGAUAACUUCGGGAAACCGGAGCUAUACCGGGAAAUUUUUUUAACCGCAUUGGUCAAAAGUGAAAGACGGUCUUUCUGUCCCUUAAUGAUGGAACCGCGCUGCAUUAGCUAGUUGGUAAGGUAACGGCUUACCAAGGCAACGAUGCAUAGCCGACCUGAGAGGGUGAUCGGCCACACUGGAACUGAGACACGGUCCAGACUCCUACGGGAGGCAGCAGUAGGGAAUCUUCCGCAAUGGGCGAAAGCCUGACGGAGCAACGCCGCGUGAGUGAUGAAGGUCUUCGGAUCGUAAAACUCUGUUAUUAGGGAAGAACAUAUGUGUAAGUAACUGUGCACAUCUUGACGGUACCUAAUCAGAAAGCCACGGCUAACUACGUG
rnacentral:rRNA from 1 species